rnacentral:lncRNA from 1 species
GGCGGCGCGCAUCCCAGCCGGGCUUGUCUGCCACUGAGCAGUACGCUGACCUGUCCGAUGCUGCCAACCGCAACCAUGAGGCCCUACGUCAGGCCAAGCAGGAGAUGAACGAGUCCCGACGUCAGAUCCAGAGUCUGACGUGCGAAGUGGACGGGCUUCGUGGCACGGUGAGCACUAAGAGGCUAUCGGGGGGCAGUGGGUGGAUUCUGAAAACCCUUCGGACUGCCUCCAUCUUCUUCCCCUACACCAGAACGAGGCACUGCUCAGACAGUUGCGGGAGCUGGAGGAGCAGUUCGCCCUGGAGGCUGGAGGGUACCAAGCAGGCGCAGCACGGCUGGAGGAAGAGCUUCGACAGCUGAAGGAAGAGAUGGCGAGGCACCUGCGAGAGUACCAGGAGCUCCUCAACGUCAAGAUGGCCCUGGACAUCGAGAUAGCCACCUACAGGAAGCUACUGGAAGGGGAAGAGAGCCGGAUCUCAGUGCCCGUUCAUUCCUUUGCUUCCCUAAGUUUAAAGACGACUGUGCCUG